rnacentral:lncRNA from 1 species
CCGUGUGAACUUCUUUAAAAGAUAUGUUUUCAUAACCACCAAAAUGUGUCAAGUAACAAAUAAAAUUUAGAUGAAAAAUGUCAUUCUAAACUAAAUAACUAUAAUAAACCCAAUACCUGAAGGGAUAUGGGGUGAAUGACUAUACUUUACCAUCGUUCUUGGUUGUUCCAAACCAAACAAAAUAAAAGCAAGCAUAAACAUAAAUACGAAAAUAUGGAAAAUGUUAGUCAAAAAUAGCAACACAUAUAAGUAUAUAAAGCACAUGAAGCUUUGAAGCGAGAAGGAAGCAUUGGACACUAU